AUUGUUGAAAAUAAUGGUGUCACUAGGUUUGAGUCGGUGGGAGAUGAAGGAAAAUGUUUCGGCUGUCGCUAUGAGUGUUUUAAUUUAUUGUGUGACAUCUGAAAAAGAAGCAAAUAGUACAAAAACUAUCACGAAUGAAGUUAUCGAAGUGUAGGUUCAAAUUGAGAUUAUGUUAUUCCUAUAAGCUGAUUCUCUGCGGAAAGGACACAUAUUGUAGAAGAAGGACACAUAAUGGAGAUGAUAGAAGUAUUGAAGGAGGUCAAGCAUGUAUCGUUUGAAAUGUACGGAAGUUUUUUCAUAGAUAAGCAAACACCUGAAAAUUUUCUUGACUUUAUCUUCAAAGUCCACUUAUGAAGGCAACAUGUAGUCACCGAAAUGCGUAUCUGGGUAGAUAAAAUAAAAUAAAUCACUGGCCUAAAGAAAGAAUUUUAUUUUUUAAUAAAUAAGUUAGCACUAU